rnacentral:rRNA from 1 species
GACAGAGGUGCCAAGCGUUAGGCGGAAUCACUGGGCUUAAAGCGUGUGUAGGUGGAUUUGUAAGUACCUUGUGAAAUCCCAUGGCUCAACCAUGGAACUGCUCGGUAUACUGCGAAUCUUGAGCCACUUAGGGACUACCGGAACAAAUGGUGGAGCGGUGAAAUGCGUAGAUAUCAUUUGGAACGCCAAUGGUGAAAACAGGUAGCUGGGAGUGUGCUGACACUGAGACACGAAAGCCAGGGGAGCGAACGGG